CCCCUCUCAGGGUCGCAUCUGGAGAGUUUCCAGUACUCUACCAGUCUCGACUAUGGGCGGGAGAGCCAAACGGAGCGAUAUCCAUUCCAUUCCUAGCUUGGCCAGUAGCUAGCGAGUGGAAAGCAAUCUGCUACAAGU